CGUUGAAACACCGGCACCCAUAAAAUCAACGAAGUUAAGCAAUACUGAGCUUGGCCAGUACCGAGAUGGGUGACCGCUUGUGAAUACCAGAUGCUGUAAG